GGGUUGUGAGGUUAAGCGACUAAGCGUACACGGUGGAUGCCCUGGCAGUCAGAGGCGAUGAAGGACGUGCUAAUCUGCGAUAAGCGUCGGUAAGGUGAUAUGAACCGUUAUAACCGGCGAUUUCCGAAUGGGGAAACCCAGUGUGAUUCGUCACACUAUCAUUAACUGAAUCCAUAGGUUAAUGAGGCGAACCGGGGGAACUGAAACAUCUAAGUACCCCGAGGAAAAGAAAUCAACCGAGAUUCCCCCAGUAGCGGCGAGCGAACGGGGAGCAGCCCAGAGCCUGAAUCAGUGUGUGUGUUAGUGGAAGCGUCUGGAAAGGCGCGCGAUACAGGGUGACAGCCCCGUACACAAAAAUGCACAUGCUGUGAGCUCGAUGAGUAGGGCGGGACACGUGGUAUCCUGUCUGAAUAUGGGGGGACCAUCCUCCAAGGCUAAAUACUCCUGACUGACCGAUAGUGAACCAGUACCGUGAGGGAAAGGCGAAAAGAACCCCGGCGAGGGGAGUGAAAAAGAACCUGAAACCGUGUACGUACAAGCAGUGGGAGCACGCUUAGGCGUGUGACUGCGUACCUUUUGUAUAAUGGGUCAGCGACUUAUAUUCUGUAGCAAGGUUAACCGAAUAGGGGAGCCGAAGGGAAACCGAGUCUUAACUGGGCGUUAAGUUGCAGGGUAUAGACCCGAAACCCGGUGAUCUAGCCAUGGGCAGGUUGAAGGUUGGGUAACACUAACUGGAGGACCGAACCGACUAAUGUUGAAAAAUUAGCGGAUGACUUGUGGCUGGGGGUGAAAGGCCAAUCAAACCGGGAGAUAGCUGGUUCUCCCCGAAAGCUAUUUAGGUAGCGCCUCGUGAAUUCAUCUCCGGGGGUAGAGCACUGUUUCGGCAAGGGGGUCAUCCCGACUUACCAACCCGAUGCAAACUGCGAAUACCGGAGAAUGUUAUCACGGGAGACACACGGCGGGUGCUAACGUCCGUCGUGAAGAGGGAAACAACCCAGACCGCCAGCUAAGGUCCCAAAGUCAUGGUUAAGUGGGAAACGAUGUGGGAAGGCCCAGACAGCCAGGAUGUUGGCUUAGAAGCAGCCAUCAUUUAAAGAAAGCGUAAUAGCUCACUGGUCGAGUCGGCCUGCGCGGAAGAUGUAACGGGGCUAAACCAUGCACCGAAGCUGCGGCAGCGACGCUUAUGCGUUGUUGGGUAGGGGAGCGUUCUGUAAGCCUGUGAAGGUGUGCUGUGAGGCAUGCUGGAGGUAUCAGAAGUGCGAAUGCUGACAUAAGUAACGAUAAAGCGGGUGAAAAGCCCGCUCGCCGGAAGACCAAGGGUUCCUGUCCAACGUUAAUCGGGGCAGGGUGAGUCGACCCCUAAGGCGAGGCCGAAAGGCGUAGUCGAUGGGAAACAGGUUAAUAUUCCUGUACUUGGUGUUACUGCGAAGGGGGGACGGAGAAGGCUAUGUUGGCCGGGCGACGGUUGUCCCGGUUUAAGCGUGUAGGCUGGUUUUCCAGGCAAAUCCGGAAAAUCAAGGCUGAGGCGUGAUGACGAGGCACUACGGUGCUGAAGCAACAAAUGCCCUGCUUCCAGGAAAAGCCUCUAAGCAUCAGGUAACAUCAAAUCGUACCCCAAACCGACACAGGUGGUCAGGUAGAGAAUACCAAGGCGCUUGAGAGAACUCGGGUGAAGGAACUAGGCAAAAUGGUGCCGUAACUUCGGGAGAAGGCACGCUGAUAUGUAGGUGAAGCGACUUGCUCGUGGAGCUGAAAUCAGUCGAAGAUACCAGCUGGCUGCAACUGUUUAUUAAAAACACAGCACUGUGCAAACACGAAAGUGGACGUAUACGGUGUGACGCCUGCCCGGUGCCGGAAGGUUAAUUGAUGGGGUCAGCGCAAGCGAAGCUCUUGAUCGAAGCCCCGGUAAACGGCGGCCGUAACUAUAACGGUCCUAAGGUAGCGAAAUUCCUUGUCGGGUAAGUUCCGACCUGCACGAAUGGCGUAAUGAUGGCCAGGCUGUCUCCACCCGAGACUCAGUGAAAUUGAACUCGCUGUGAAGAUGCAGUGUACCCGCGGCAAGACGGAAAGACCCCGUGAACCUUUACUAUAGCUUGACACUGAACAUUGAGCCUUGAUGUGUAGGAUAGGUGGGAGGCUUAGAAGUGUGGACGCCAGUCUGCAUGGAGCCGACCUUGAAAUACCACCCUUUAAUGUUUGAUGUUCUAACGUUGACCCGUAAUCCGGGUUGCGGACAGUGUCUGGUGGGUAGUUUGACUGGGGCGGUCUCCUCCUAAAGAGUAACGGAGGAGCACGAAGGUUGGCUAAUCCUGGUCGGACAUCAGGAGGUUAGUGCAAUGGCAUAAGCCAGCUUGACUGCGAGCGUGACGGCGCGAGCAGGUGCGAAAGCAGGUCAUAGUGAUCCGGUGGUUCUGAAUGGAAGGGCCAUCGCUCAACGGAUAAAAGGUACUCCGGGGAUAACAGGCUGAUACCGCCCAAGAGUUCAUAUCGACGGCGGUGUUUGGCACCUCGAUGUCGGCUCAUCACAUCCUGGGGCUGAAGUAGGUCCCAAGGGUAUGGCUGUUCGCCAUUUAAAGUGGUACGCGAGCUGGGUUUAGAACGUCGUGAGACAGUUCGGUCCCUAUCUGCCGUGGGCGCUGGAGAACUGAGGGGGGCUGCUCCUAGUACGAGAGGACCGGAGUGGACGCAUCACUGGUGUUCGGGUUGUCAUGCCAAUGGCACUGCCCGGUAGCUAAAUGCGGAAGAGAUAAGUGCUGAAAGCAUCUAAGCACGAAACUUACCCCGAGAUGAGUUCUCCCUGACUCCUUGAGAGUCCUGAAGGAACGUUGAAGACGACGACGUUGAUAGGCCGGGUGUGUAAGCGCAGCGAUGCGUUGAGCUAACCGGUACUAAUGAACCGUGAGGCUUAACCUUACAACGCCGAAGGUGUUU
rnacentral:rRNA from 1 species